GACGAACGCUGGCGGCGCGCCUAACACAUGCAAGUCGAGCGAAGCGGCGGACGGGUGAGUAAUACGUGAGUAACCUGCCUUAGACAUUGGGAUAGCCUCGGGAAACCGGGAUUAAUACCAAAUGGUCUAAGAUGGACUCGCGUCCCAUUAGCUGGUUGGUGGGGUAACGGCCCACCAAGGGGACGAUGGGUAGCCGGCCUGAGAGGGUGGGCGGCGACACUGGAACGAGGAAACGGUCGAAACUCUACGCGAGGCAGCAGUGGGGAAUAUUGCACAAUGGAGGGAACGAUGAUGCAGUGACGCCGCGUAAACGAAGUAGGCUUUCGAGUAGUAAAGUUCUUUUAUAUGAGAAGCGGUACCAUAAGAAAAAGCCCCGGCUAACUACGUGCCAGCAGCCGCGGUAAUUC
rnacentral:rRNA from 1 species